CACGUAGGGGGCAAGCGUUGUCCGGAUUUAUUGGGCGUAAAGAGCGUGUAGGCGGCUUUACAGGUCCGUUGUGAAAACUCGAGGCUCAACCUCGAGACGCCGGUGGAAACCGUAAAGCUAGAGUCCGGAAGAGGAGAGUGGAAUUCCUGGUGUAGCGGUGAAAUGCGCAGAUAUCAGGAGGAACACCCGUGGCGAAAGCGGCUCUCUGGGACGGUACUGACGCUGAGACGCGAAAGCGUGGGGAGCAAACAGG
rnacentral:rRNA from 1 species